rnacentral:lncRNA from 1 species
GGGGGGGGACACACACAAAGCCAUUGGGAUGAGUGGGGGGGCACAGCACCAUAACCGCCCCCCCCCCAUAUCACAGCACCCCAUAGGGAUGGAGACAAUGGGGAACCCCAUAAGGACAGCCCCAAUGGGGGGACACAAAUGGGACCCCCCCCCAGGAGAAGCACAUUGUGCCAUAGAGACACUCAAAUGAUGCCCCCCCCACCCCAUGGCCAUAAGGGACCCUUUAUCCGCCCCCACCUCCCCCCCCCAACUGACGUCACUGUGCCCUAUAGCGUGGUUGUGGGGUGGGGGGGGGUCGUGGUGCCCCACAAUGGGCCCUUUGUGGAGGGCGGGGGUGGGGGGCACCGUGGGGCAGCGCUGUGGGGUGGAGCUGCCAUGGCCCCAAAUGGACCCUGGGGUGGGGGUGGGCAGAAACAGGCAGCUCCCAGUGCCACCAUACCAGUAUAGCCCAGUAUAUCCCAGUAUGUCCCAGUAUAUCCCAGUAUGUCCCAUUCCAUCCCAUAUAUCCCAUUAUAUCCCAGUGCCUCCAUCCCAGUAUAUCCCAGUAUAUCCCAUUCCAUCCCAUAUAUCCCAGUAUAUCCCAGUGCCUCCAUCCCAGUAUAUCCCAGUAUAUCCCAGUCCACCCCAGUGCAUCCCAGUGCCACUAUCCCAGUGUGUCCCAUCCCAUCCCAGUAUGUCCCAGUACAUCCCAGUGUGUCUCACCCCAGUACAUCCCAUCCCAUCCCAGUACAUCCAUCCCAGUAUGUCCCGGUCCCAUCAUCCCAGUAUAUCCCAGUCCAUCCCAUAUAUCCCAGUAUAUCCCAGUGCCAUCGUCCCAGUGUAUCCCAGUGCCUCCAUCCCAGUGUAUCCCAGUAUAUCCCAGUAUAUCCCAGCCCAUCCCAGCAUAUCCCAUUGCCACCCUCCCAGCAUAUCCCAGUGCCUCUGUUCCAGUAUAUCCCAUUGCCUCCAUCCCAGUAUAUCCCAGUGUAUCCCAGUACCACCCUCCCAGUAUAUUGCAGUGUAUACCAGUAUAUCUCAUUGCCACCAUCCCAGUAUAUCCCAGUACAUCCCAGUCCAUCCCAGUCCAUCCCAGUCCAUCCCAGUCCAUCCCAGUCCAUCCCAGUCCAUCCCAGUCCAUCCCAGUACAUCCCAGUAUCACCAUCCCAGUAUAUCCCAGUGUAUCCCAGUACCUCCUUCCUAGUGUAUCCCAUUGCCACCACCCCAGUGUAUCCCAGUGUAUCCCAGUACCACUCUCCCAGUAUAUCCUAUUGCCACCACCCCAGUAUAUCCCAGUAU